UAAACAGCUGAGUGAUUAUCUUGAUGAAGAGACUAGAAGUAGUGGCUCUGCACCCGAGGAAAGAAAACUUGAUAAAAAGCUGAGCGAAUAUCUUGAUGAAGAGACUAGAAGUAGUGGUUCUGCACCCGAGGAAAGAAACUUUGAUAAACAGCUGAGUGAAUAUCUUGAUUAAGAGACUAGAAGUAGUGGCUCUGCGCCCGAGGAAAGAACACUUGAUAAACUGGUGAGUGAAUAUCUUGAUGAAGAGACUAGAAGUAGUGGCUCUGCACCCGAGGAAAGAAAACUUGCUAAAAAGCUGAGUGAAUAUCUUGAUGAAGAGACUAGAGGCAUUGUAGACUCACCAUCCGAGGACGAUAAACGAGGAAUUAAGACCUUAUUUAGCGGCAAGAGGAAGAAGUGGACAAUAACGGCCAGGAGAUCUAAACAUUGACAGAUCCGUCCUGACUAAGGAUAAAUUGUACAGAAUUCUGCAAUAAUUGUUUUUAGAAGAUAAGAAAUAGCGAAUUUACAGAUUAUAUGUAUAUGUACAUGCUCAUCUGACUAGUGCUGCUUGACAAUAUAUUCAAUUAAUAAUAUCAGAAUUAAAAACUUGUACUGUGGCCGCAGAAAAAGAUUCACUGUGCUCCUUUUGUAGGUAUAUUAGAUUUAAUGACGUCACAAAAUCUUUUUUGGUAACUGUGGUUUAUAUGGGGGAAAAUAAAAAUCUAUAAUAGCGCUAUCUUUUUAUCUCCAAAUAAAACUCGCAUUAAGGCAAAUGUACCAUGAUUCUCGUUUAGAAUUUUACGUUAAUUUUAGCAGAAAUGGUUUUGAAAUUGCUUUUAUAUUUUAUCUAUUAAUUGCAUCCGAUAUCCAAAAUGGAUGCAACAAUGGAACAGUGUCUGCCAUUGGACACGUACAACUUUAUUAAAAACAAAAGGCUAA